UACGGAGGUUCCGAGCGUUAUCCGGAAUCAUUGGGUUUAAAGGGUCCGUAGGCGGGACAUUAAGUCAGGGGUGAAAUGUUGCAGCUCAACUGCAGAAUGGCCAUUGAUACUGGUGUUCUUGAGUUAUGUUGCUGUGGUCGGAACAUGUGGUGUAGCGGUGAAAUGCAUAGAUAUCACAUAGAACGCAGAUUGCGAAGGCAGGUUACAAAGCAUAUACUGACGCUGAGGGACGAAAGCGUGGGGAGCGAACGGG
rnacentral:rRNA from 1 species